UCGUUUUUCUAUUUAUAGGUGGCAUAGUGGGUGACUUCUAUCAACUUCGGGGGUAAUUUUAAUGACAGAUGGAUAGAAGCAAUAGUCCAUUUAUUAAUACUAGCAAAAGGGACCGUGCGUUGCAACGGAAGAUAAAAUUGGCGUGAUUGUAGUGAGGAUUGUGUGGGAGACCACAAUUCCCGUUUUCAAAUCAAUAGUGCAAGGCCCUCUUUUAUGCAGGAGGGGCACGUCCUCAUUUAAUUCUGCAUACUCAUUGAACAUAUAAAGGAUGAAGGAGUUGCUACACACAACCAAUGGCUCGAGCGCACCGCACCACGUGAAGAAAAAAAACCACCGCAACGCGACCGCGCGUGAGAAAAAACAGCGAGGGUCAGGCGAGCGCACCGCACCACGCGAGGGAAAAGACCACCGCUCCGCCCGUCCGCUUUCUCCUUCAUCCCCGUUCCCUCCUCUCCAACCGCCCGUCCGCCUCGAGCCCCGCCCCGCGUCCCUCCUCCUCCUCCCUGCUCGCUCACAUCGCGGGCGGCGCCACCUCCUCGCUAGGCCCAUCUCUGCCCACCCUCUCUUCCUCGCGAUUCGGAGCAGAAGGACGGAUGCGGCCACCCAGGCGUCGGCGCCGGCGCCGGCGCGGGAUUAUAGAGGAGAGGGGACAUCGAUGGCCAGGCAAGGAAGGACGAGGGGGAAUCUGGUGGAGGUGAUGAGGGAGCUGCUAAGGUGGGGCAGGAGAGGACGGCUCGCCGACAAGCUCGAGUUGGAGGCGGUGAGAUCUUUUCCUUCAUGCCUUCCCACCUGCUGAGCUCGUUGGUCCUCCUCCCUCCCCUGUGCGGCCGUCUUCGUCCUUCAUCGCUCGAUUUACGAUCAACCCCUGGUACGCCUCCAUCCUUCGUCUCUUGCUCCGUGGCCCGGAUGUUGAGAGAGGGCGAGAGGCGGUGUCGCGGUGAUAUGCAGGGGUGAGGGAGAUGGAGGCGGUGACCUGCAGCUCCUAUUGAAGGGGCGGAGAAGAGGGGGUACUCGUGUGAGCGGAGAAGAGGGGGUACUCGUGUGGAAGAAAUCGGGAGGAAGCGUUGGCAGUGACAGGUCGUGGAUCAUCUGUGCUUGUGCAGAUUUUAUUUCUGUACGCCUACAAGGUGUUCGACGAAAAUCCCAGAAGGCUGGCAGGGGAAGAAUGAUCUAUGUAAGCCAUGUGAUUUCCUGAUUCAGGUGGCUCUACUAUAUUCCUCAUUUAGUAGUUUAUCAAGUGAUCAGAUGUUUUAAUCUCGAGAAUGUGUUUUGAGAACUGCUUGUUUACCCAUUCCUUUGUUUUUAGCUGCAGUCAAGUAAUUCUAAUAGGAAGACUGUUGGUUCAACUGAAGAUGCGGAGUCAGUGUGUGGACAGCUUGUUGGUAGAGUCCAUAAAAAAAUUCCAACCAGUCAUAACCGCCCUGCCUCGCUUCCGACGGUGCUGCUGGUUGCUCAGGUUCCUAGGGGACGUCUCAUGGUUGUUAUCUAUGGGAGGAGAGGAUGACAUCCACAGCAGUAAGCGGCACGCUGCCCCAGCCAGCCGUCGUACAUGGCCGCGUCGAUUUUCCGUUACCUUGCCUCCUGCUGUUCGAUUUUCCUCUUUUGCUUACUUCUCCUUCCAGUGUUGGUGCGGGAUCGUUCGGUUCAUUGUUCAUUGUUCCGCUGGCUGCUCAGGUUUGCCAACAACAUCAGUUUGUUGUUUUCUCCCAGAGGUGGAUUAUUUCUGCGGGGUUGAGCUCCUCCAUGACCCGAUUUCUUACCUUGCUGGUUGUGUCAUAUGGCAGUCGGCAUUUGCUUGAUGAAUGUUUCAGUUCUACUACUGUUUCACCACCCCACCAUGAGCUCGGCCUUCAGCCGUGUUUAUUCUCUUUCCUUUCUCUAAUUCAUUUAUAUAUUUCAUGGGUAGGGUAUGGAUAGCCUGAUGAGAGCAGCCCAGUAGCCGCACCUCCGCAACUUUGCCAAUCUCUCGAGGUUUACGCAUAGCCCUAUAAGAAGAUCAAUCAUCGAUGACUUGCCGAUUUACAGGCACGUAAAAAAAUACAUACUUUCUAUGUGUUCUUGGGAUCAACUAAUGUGAGAUCGUUUUCUCUUAUUUCAUUGUUCUUGCUGCUGCAUAUAUCUCUUCAUGCAUCUGAAUCACUGAAAAUUACAGGAGAAAACAGGUUGGGGGGAUAUGAGGCUAUUGGUCUUUAUUCCUUCAUGUAGGUUGAGGUAUUUCGGAGUUGGUUCACUCGGAAAAAAGGUGUGUUGAUGGUUUGAGUUUUUGCAUCAGCAGCAAGUCAGAUUUUUUCUACCGGGGAGCAUCAACCUUCUUCCCCCCAUGAUCGUUACUUUGUUGGCAUGAGCUUUCUAGAAUGUAUUGUUUGAUUGUCUCCCAUGUUAGCAGAUAGGUACUAGCUAGAACACCCUUUUUAAUGAUGUAUUUCAUGGAUACAUUGUGAUGGAGCAUUAGUUGGCUUGCCUUUUGUGUCA